rfam:Cucumis melo, WGS project CAJI01000000 data, contig: 04228
GAUCUAUGAUGCUAAUUAACGCAAUCGGUGAUGCAAGGGUUCAUCACACCAGUCUGAUGCUCAGAUGACAAACGUGCGUUGCUGAGAUC